UACGAAGGGGGCUAGCGUUGCUCGGAAUGACUGGGCGUAAAGGGCGCGUAGGCGGCUCAUACAGUCAGAUGUGAAAUUCCUGGGCUUAACCUGGGGGCUGCAUUUGAUACGUGUGGGCUUGAGUGGGGAAGAGGGUCGUGGAAUUCCCAGUGUAGAGGUGAAAUUCGUAGAUAUUGGGAAGAACACCGGUGGCGAAGGCGGCGACCUGGUCCUUGACUGACGCUGGGGCGCGAAAGCGUGGGGAGCAAACAGG
rnacentral:rRNA from 1 species